CUCUUUCUCUCUCCCCGCCCAGAGUUUUCUCUGUCGCGUAGGGUGUUGUGUUAAUUUUGGCGGUCUCAGAUGUCUCAGGUACCUGGGUCGGAGUCCUUUCUGUUGUUAUCUACUGGAUUCCCUUGAUUCAAGGCCUAGGGAGUUCCUGCCCUACACUGGCCCUCGCGAAAAUAUUUGUCUUUGAGGACGUCUGGGGCUGCGACCGCGGAAUAGAAAAAAAUAGUAGGUGAGCUGCUGCCAAAAAGGAGCGACUAGAAAGGUUUUGUACUUGCUUCUGUAGAAGGGGAAUUUCUCUUUUGUGCUAAUGAUGUGGAAAGAAAAAACAAAAAGACUGUAAAAUAGCGAUGCCCUAAACAUAAUGGAGAAAAGCGGGAGAAACCAAGCUUUAGGACUGAAAGGGGUGGUGCCAGUCUCGUUUCCUAGGUUACUGCUUUCACGAACCGAAAGAAUUUCAGAAUGUGGCGAGCUCCAAUUUUUAAACGCACUGCUGCUUUUGCCUCAGCUGGGCUUCCAAACAGAAAGUCCAGAAGCUGCCCUCGAUGAAUCGUAACUAAUGCACUGUUACUGCCAGCGAACACAUUCCGGGUUAGAAAUAAUAGCUCUAACAAAUUGUUUUGCGCGCCUAGUCUCAUAUUAUCUUCUCAACAACGCAAUUUUACAGAUGAAGAAUCCAAGACACAUAGAUGUUUGGGAACUUUCUCUUAUCUGGUUUUAAAUAGGCUUGAAUCCAGAUCAUUGAACUCUAAACACCAGUGCUGUCUGCAUAUAGCAGAUUGUUUAUAUGUUAAGUGUGAAUUUCAGUAGUGCAAAAAAAAAAACAAAACCUGCCUCUUUUUUUUUUUUGCAUAAUUAUUUUGUCCGUGCAUAGAGAAAUAAAAAGGUACUGGCUCUAACCUGUUUAAGGAGAGGAUGGGGUUGCCUUAUUUUUCAGACCUCAGGUUGAAGAACUUCCAUGAGUAUAAAACCUCAAGAAGGAAAAACCUUGGUAUUUUUUAUUCGAAUCAGAGUGAUAUGAUUUUGAGGCAGGAAGACUUGUCAUCUUAAUUAUUCUGUGCUUCCUAUCCUCAAAAAUUAUUUCCCUAAGUCCCGUAGUAGCGUAGAAUUAUUGCAUCUUCAAAGAACAAUGAUUACUCUCUCAGAUGCAGUACAGAAAACCACCACCAAAAUUAUUAAUACUUGGUUCACAUCAGAAGUGAGCUCUGGCUUCAUAAGAUCUAACAAAUCCUCUCCACUCUCAGAUGACAAGCCGACUUUGGCAAAAGGAAGCAAAGCAAAAAUGAGAAAUCAUUAACUAUAAAGAGCCUUUCCAUCUCUGCUUUCCUCAACUCAUAUUGGCCUUGCUCUGCUCAACCAGCAAUCGAAAAUUAUUCUAGGCCGGGCGCGGUGGCUCACCCCUGUAGCCUCAGCUACUCGGGAGGCUGAGGCAGGAGAAUCACUUGAAUCGGUGAGGCAGAGGUUGCAGUGAGCCGAGAUCGUGCCAUUGCACCCCACCUUGGGCAACAGAGUGAGACUCCGUCUGAAGAGAAAAAAAAAUUAUUCUAUAAAGUUAUGUUAACUACUUAA
ensembl:lncRNA novel transcript